UGGGGAAUUUUGGACAAUGGGGGCAACCCUGAUCCAGCCAUGCCGCGUGCGGGAAGAAGGCCUUCGGGUUGUAAACCGCUUUUAGUCGGGAAGAAAAGGCAAGGGUUAACACCUCUUGUUCUUGACGGUACCGGCGGAAUAAGCACCGGCUAACUACGUGCCAGCAGCCGCGGUAAUACGUAGGGUGCGAGCGUUAAUCGGAAUUACUGGGCGUAAAGGGCGCGUAGGUGGUUAAUUAAGUCAGAUGUGAAAUCCCCGGGCUUAACCUGGGAAUUGCAUUUGAAACUGAUUGGCUAGAGUACGGGAGAGGGAAGUGGAAUUUCCGGUGUAGCGGUGAAAUGCGUAGAUAUCGGAAGGAACACCAGUGGCGAAGGCGACUUCCUGGCCCGUUACUGACACUGAGGCGCGAAAGCGUGGGGAGCGAACA
rnacentral:rRNA from 1 species